AUAUUUACCUGACAGGGGAGGUACCAUGAUCACGAAGGUGGCUUUCCCAGAUGUGGCAUAUCCAUUGCACUCUGGAUGUGCUAACCCCUGCAAUAUCCCCACAUCAGGGAAACUUGACCGCAUAAUUUGUGGUAGUGGGGGACUGAGUUUAUGCUCUCUCUUU